rnacentral:rRNA from 1 species
CAGAAACUCAAAGGAAUUGACGGGGCCCGCACAAGCGGUGGAGCAUGUGGUUUAAUUCGAUGCAACGCGAAGAACCUUACCUGGUCUUGACAUCCCGGAGACCCUUAGGAAACUAGGGGGUGCUUCCAUCUGGAAGAAUCUGGAGACAGGUGCUGCAUGGCUGUCGUCAGCUCGUGUCGUGAGAUGUUGGGUUAAGUCCCGCAACGAGCGCAACCCUUGCCUUUAGUUGCCAGCAGUUCGGCUGGGCACUCUAAAGGGACUGCCGGUGUUAAACCGGAGGAAGGUGGGGAUGACGUCAAGUCCUCAUGGCCUUUAUGACCAGGGCUACACACGUACUACAAUGGCCGAUACAAAGGGCAGCGACACUGCGAGGUGAAGCCAAUCCCGUAAAAUCGGUCUCAGUCCGGAUUGGAGUCUGCAACUCGACUCCAUGAAGUUGGAAUCGCUAGUAAUCGUGGAUCAGCAUGCCACGGUGAAUACGUUCCCGGGCCUU